GAUGAACGCUGGCGGCGUGCCUAAUACAUGCAAGUCGAGCGAACAGACGAGGAGCUUGCUCCUCUGACGUUAGCGGCGGACGGGUGAGUAACACGUGGAUAACCUACCUAUAAGACUGGGAUAACUUCGGGAAACCGGAGCUAACACCGGAUAAUAUAUUGAACCGCAUGGUUCAAUAGUGAAAGACGGUUUUGCUGUCUCUUAUAGCUGGAUCUCCGCCGCAUUAGCUAGUUGGUAAGGUAACGGCUUACCAAGGCAACGAUGCGUAGCCGACCUGAGAGGGUGAUCGGCCACACUGGAGCUGAGACACGGUCCAGACUCCUACGGGAGGCAGCAGUAGGGAAUCUGCCGCAAUGGGCGAAAGCUUGACGGAGCAACGGCGCGUGAGUGAUGAAGGUCUUGGGAGCGUAAAACUCUGUUAUGAGGGAAGAACAAAUGUGUAAGGAACUAUGCACGUCUUGACGGUACCUAAUCAGAAAGCCACGGCUAACUACGUG
rnacentral:rRNA from 1 species